rnacentral:rRNA from 1 species
CCUACGGGAGGCUGCAGUGGGGAAUAUUGGACAAUGGGCGAAAGCCUGAUCCAGCCAUGCCGCGUGUGUGAAGAAGGCCUUCGGGUUGUAAAGCACUUUCAGUGGGGAAGAAAGCCUUGGGGCUAAUACCCUCGAGGAAGGACAUCACCCACAGAAGAAGCACCGGCUAACUCCGUGCCAGCAGCCGCGGUAAUACGGAGGGUGCGAGCGUUAAUCGGAAUUACUGGGCGUAAAGCGCGCGUAGGCGGUCUGAUAAGCCGGUUGUGAAAGCCCCGGGCUCAACCUGGGAACGGCAUCCGGAACUGUCAGGCUAGAGUGCAGGAGAGGAAGGUAGAAUUCCCGGUGUAGCGGUGAAAUGCGUAGAGAUCGGGAGGAAUACCAGUGGCGAAGGUGGCCUUCUGGACUGACACUGACGCUGAGGUGCGAAAGCGUGGGUAGCAAACAGGAUUAGAUACCCCAGUAGUC